rnacentral:sRNA from 1 species
UACACAGUGGUACAAGAUCAAGUUCGGAACAGCUACCAGCUCUGUAAUAAUGGUACUCUGAGGGUGAUGUAUGCUAAUGGGAUGGGUGUCAGCUUCCACAGCGAGCCCCAUGUCCUAGCAGGCACUAUCACCCCCACCAUUGGACGCUGCAACAUCUCCCUGCCUAUGGAGAAUGGCUUAAACUCCAUUGAGUGGCGCCUAAGAAAGGAACAGAUUAAAGGCAAAGUCACCAUCUUUGGCAGGAAGCUCCGGGUUUAAGAAUGAUGGUGGCCUUCCAUAGUUGUCCCAGAUGAACCAACCCAAUGUGACCAAGCUUCUGUUGGCAGAGGAGAUGAUCUAUCUUUCUGACCUCCACUGUGUGUUUUGCUCUGAAAAUGAUGGCUCCAAUCCCCAAUAAUUCAGACAGCAUUAACUUUUGGACCUGUUUUAAAAAAAAAAAAAAAUCCUACUACUCA